GUUGCCUGUGAAACGAAUCUUAGUUCACUCUUAAUUCUUCUCCAAGGAAAUACACGAACCCUAAUGAAGCGAAUUAAGGGCUAUUUAAAGGGGGUACAGCUCCUUUAAAAAAGAAUACAAUCUCCACGAGCGGAUAAGUAAUAUUCCCUAAUCUAUACUGUGGGCCCUCAAGCAGCCAUCAACAAAGAGUGCGUUAAAGCUCUACUCCAUAAAAAUAUAAGAACAAUAUGACUCCCUCAUCAUUAACAGGCUAACCUAUAUCCAAAUAGGAGAAUUAAUGCUAGAAUGAGUAACCUGGGUCCUCCCUCUACGACGCAAGCUUACAUCGGUACAUUAUUAACAAAUCACCAAUAUACGACAAAUCAAACAAGCAGAGUAUUAGGUACAUUGUUAACCCGACAGAGGAGCGUCUUCUAAGAAAGAUUAAAACCUGUAAAAGGAACUCGGCAAACCCGUCAAGGCCCGACUGUUUACCAAAAACAUAGCCUUCAGCAAACCACAAACAAGUAUUGAAGGUGAUGCCUGCCCGGUGACUCACGUUUAACGGCCGCGGUAUCCUA
rnacentral:rRNA from 1 species